rnacentral:rRNA from 1 species
GACGAACCGUGCGAACGUUGUUCGGAAUCACUGGGCUUAAAGGGCGCGUAGGCGGGCUGUCAAGGUCUGGGGUGAAAUGCCGCGGCUCAACCGUGGAACUGCCUUAGAUACUGACGGCCUCGAGGGAGAUAGGGGCUGCGGAACUGUAGGUGGAGCGGUGAAAUGCGUGAUAGUCUAACAGGAACUCCGGUGGCGAAAGCGGCGUGCUGGAUCUCUUCGAUGACGCUGGAGGCGACGGAAAGCCUAGGGGAGCAAACGGG